CGGACGGGUGAGUAAUGUCUGGGAAACUGCCUGAUGGAGGGGGAUAACUACUGGAAACGGUAGCUAAUACCGCAUAACGUCGCAAGACCAAAGAGGGGGACCUUCGGGCCUCUUGCCAUCGGAUGUGCCCAGAUGGGAUUAGCUAGUAGGUGGGGUAAAGGCUCACCUAGGCGGCGAUCCCUAGCUGGUCUGAGAGGAUGACCAGCCACACUGGAACUGAGACACGGUCCAG
rnacentral:rRNA from 1 species